rnacentral:tRNA from 1 species
GGAUUAUGGCUCAGUGGUAGAGUGCUUGCCUAGCAUGUGUGAGGCACUGGGUUCAAUUCUCAGUACCA